rnacentral:rRNA from 1 species
CGAAAGCCUGACGGAGCAACGCCGCGUGAGGGAUGAAGGCCUCUGGGCUGUAAACCUCUUUUCUCAAGGAAGAAGAUCUGACGGUACUCGAGGAAUAAGCCACGGCUAAUUCCGUGCCAGCAGCCGCGGUAAUACGGGAGUGGCAAGCGUUAUCCGGAAUUAUUGGGCGUAAAGCGUCCGCAGGCGGUUCUGUAAGUCUGCCGUUAAAGCGUGGAGCUUAACUCCAUUUCGGCGGUGGAAACUGCAGGACUUGAGUGUGGUAGGGGCAGAGGGAAUUCCCGGUGUAGCGGUGAAAUGCGUAGAUAUCGGGAAGAACACCAGUGGCGAAAGCGCUCUGCUGGGCCAUAACUGACGCUCAUGGACGAAAGCCAGGGGAGCG